rnacentral:rRNA from 2 species
UUUCGCAAUGCCCGAAAGGGUGACGAAGCGACGCCGCGUGUGGGAAGAAGGCCUUCGGGUUGUAAACCACUGUCGGGAGUUAAGAAAUACAAGGAUAUUAAUAGUGUCUUUGUUUGACUAAGGCUCCGGAGGAAGCCACGGCUAACUCUGUGCCAGCAGCCGCGGUAAUACAGAGGCGGCAAGCGUUGUUCGGAAUUAUUGGGCGUAAAGAGCACGUAGGCGGCUAUGUAAGUCGGUUGUGAAAGCCUUCCGCUCAACGGAAGAACAGCAUCCGAUACUACAUGGCUUGAGUGCGGGAGGGGAGAGUGGAACUUCUGGUGGAGCGGUGAAAUGCGUAGAUAUCAGAAGGAACGCCGGCGGCGAAAGCGGCUCUCUGGCCCAUAACUGACGCUGAGUGUGCGAAAGCUAGGGGAGCAAACGGGAUUAGAUACCCCGGUAGUCCUAGCCGUAAACGAUGGGCACUAAGUAGAGGGGUUUU